rnacentral:lncRNA from 1 species
AGCGCACCAACAUCUGCUGCUGAGCUAAUAGCCUACAUGGAGGGCUCUCAACCUAUCUAUCGGGACCUGCGGACAUGAAUAACAGCAUCCCUAGGCAAAAGGGAUGUCAGUACGAAUAAUGUACUGAGUAUGUAAGGUACAUAAAUAAAGACAUAAGAGACAUGGAAGACAUAUGAGUACAUGACUCAACCUGUAAGUCUGAAUAACUUUGUAAAUCAUCAAUUACUUUUAGCAUCAUGCAUAUGCGUAUGAAUGUCAUGUCGUGCAUAGGUAUAUAUUUCAUAACAUCAUCAGCCUCUGAGGGCAUCCCAUCAUAUCAUAUUUUCCACUGCGGGCAAAAUCAUCAUCGUAUACCAGCUGAUCAGGUGGUGGUGCGUAUAUAACGCCAUAACCUUUCUCAUUUCCCAUAUACAUAUAUACAUACAUAUAUACGCUUAUAUAACACCGUUUGAAUCAUAUUUACAUAUGUAUAUGCAUAUAUAACGCUGUUUGAAUCAUAUUUUAGCUACUAUGGGCAACAUCAUCAUCAUAUACCAGCUGAUCAGGUGGUGGUGCGUAUAUAAUGUCGUAACCUUUUCCCAUAUCCCAUAUACAUAUAUUUAUAUAUAUAUGCAUAUAUAACGUCAUAUGGUCAUGGUUCAAUGCACAUGAAUGCAAUACAUGAAAAGUACGUUAAUAAAAUCUUUCAGAAUUUCAUAAGACCAUUUUGUCUUGAGCAAUCUUAUAAAGUAAACUUUUGUUUUCUCAACUUUCAUAUUUUUCUGAGACCCAUGAACAUCUGAUAAAAUAUUAUGACACAUGGAAAUUCAGGAACAUAGAUAUCUCUAAUACUUCUAUGAAUAGAGUCAUUUAUGGAAUUUGCGCAUUUGCACGUUUCGUUCGUAUCGUAUGGAUCAUGCCAAAAGAAAGAAGGGAUAGCCUUAACAUACCUGAGCCGAUUCUCUUGUGAAAGAUUACACCAUACUUCCUAAAAUUUGCAAAAAUCUCAUGCUAUAUUGACAAGAUGGAGCAACUUGUUCAAUUAAAGAACAGAGGUCACCGGAA